rnacentral:rRNA from 1 species
AGGGGGCUAGCGUUGCUCGGAAUCACGGGGCGUAAAGCGCACGUAGGCGGAUUGUUAAGUCAGGGGUGAAAUCCUGGAGCUCAACUCCAGAACUGCCUUUGAUACCGGCGAUCUUGAGUCCGGGAGAGGUGAGUGGAACUGCGAGUGUAGAGGUGAAAUUCGUAGAUAUUCGCAAGAACACCAGUGGCGAAGGCGGCUCACUGGCCCGAUACUGACGCUGAGGCACGAAAGCGUGGGGAGCAAACAGG